UGGGGAAUUUUGGACAAUGGGCGAAGGCCUGAUGCAGCAACGCCGCGUGCGGGAAGAAGGCCCUAGGGUUGUAAACCGCUUUCAGCAGGGAAGAAAAUGACGGUACCUGCAGAAGAAGGUGCGGCCAACUACGUGCCAGCAGCCGCGGUGACACGUAGGCACCAAGCGUUGUCCGGAUUUAUUGGGCGUAAAGAGCUCGUAGGCGGUUCAGUAAGUCGGGUGUGAAAACUCUGGGCUCAACCCAGAGACGCCACCCGAUACUGCUGUGACUUGAGUACGGUAGGGGAGUGGGGAAUUCCUGGUGUAGCGGUGAAAUGCGCAGAUAUCAGGAGGAACACCAGUGGCGAAGGCGGCUCACUGGACGUGUAUUGACGCUGAGGUACGAAAGCGUGGGGAGCAAACAGGAUUAGAUACCCAAGUAGUCCCUGAGCGGGCUGGCAAGGCGCAU
rnacentral:rRNA from 1 species